CUCUAAACGUCGACCGAACAUAAUCGAUAAAUGCGAGCCCGUAUGCGCUAGCACGUAGAAAUCUAUACAUAAGCGACCUAAUUGCCAAUUAAUCGAGAAGCAUCGAUGAUCUCGAGCGUGACGAACCACCGGUUUUGGUUGAAGGGGAAACGAGAGAAGACAAUUUGAAGAUGAGGAAGAUUAAGACAGAAAGAAAAAGAGAAAGAGAAAGAAAUAAACAAAAAGAGACUAAAGACGAUUGGAUUUCGCAUUCGAUCUUCGAAGGAAAUUCGUUCUAUACCAAGAACACGAGAUUGUAAACAAAACAUCGUCUAACGGACACUAGAAUAUCUCCUCUCAUCAGUAUAACACGAGCUACGCUUGGAAGAAGAUUUACCCGUGUACUCUCUUAUAAUAUAAAAGAGGAACAACACCAGUAACAGCAGCAGUAGUAGCAGUAGUACGGUAAGCACUCACUCUACAUCACCAUAGCGACCGCUUAAUUGGAGAAGGAUUCCCAUAAUAAAAUCGUCGAGUGUCCCCGUUCAGCGAUGCGGAAGAAAUUCGGGACCAUCCAAGUUUUUCGCGGUAGGGCGAAAAACGCGAAGAAUUUCAAUCGCCGAGAAACGAAUCCCUCAACCGUUUCCUUUACCUGACACGAACUUCGGUUAUAGUCGUCAAAAUAACAGAAAUAGAAGAAG